rnacentral:lncRNA from 1 species
UACAUAUUCCCUUUAAUAAGUUUUUCUUCCAGAUUCUUAGUGUGGCAGGUGGAGUCAGUCUAGUUGAUUAUCAAGCUGAUUGGGCUUUGCUGUGCUCAUUGCCUUAAGUGCACGGAGACUUUAAAUUCCUUCAGUGGUGGGCCCCACAACCUAGUCCCUUGUGUGGACCCUGAAGUGCUGGAGGGUUUUCUCAGUGUGACAGCUCCAACCGAAGCUUUCAGCAAGUCCUGUGUGACAUCAUCAAGAGUUCUCUCUCUAUGCUCUUGUCUCUCUCCCAGUGAUAAAUUAUUUCUCUUUACUUCAUGCAAGACUUGUGGUGGGCAGGGGAGUUCUCUGUUCUGUUCCAGUCUCAGUCUUAGGCAGGCAUGAUGUACCUGCAACUUGGGGAUGGGGCUUUGCUCACAUUCUUGCCUCUCCACUGUGACAUCCAAACUCUACCUCGUAUCUGUGGAAGGAAAGGGGGUUCUUGGGUAGGACGGAUUUUCCUGUCUCUCCCUCCAGAAGUAAAGAGUUUUUGCUUCUAUUUCUUCCUCAACAACGCUAUACUAUUGCCUGAGACUGGGCAGGAAUGUUACUGCCCUUCUCCUAGUUCUGGACAGGAGUUGCCCCUACCUCAGGGGAAGACGUCUUGUGCUUCUACCCCCUCACUCAGCAGAAGUUUACCUUUGCUUAUGAGUGUGGGCAGGAGGGAUUUCUGUCGAUCCUUCAGUAGCUGAUGGCUUUUGUUUCUCUCACUGAGGCAGUGAAUCUUUGAGGCUUCAGGAUAGAAAGGUUUCCUGCCCCUCCCUUUGCUUAGAAGAUUUGCUUUGUAUCCAAGAAAGUUCCAAGAUAGCGGGCGUGGUUUCAUGCUCAGUGCCACUGAAGGGGGCUCUCUCAUCUCUCUUGCCCUGGGCCAAAUCUCUCUCAUGAACACCAGUGGAAGUCCGUGACAAAGAAGGUGCACGUGAGAGUGGACUCCCUGCAGGUCUGGGGCUUCCAGGUGUUGUAAGUUGUCAUGUUAGCCCUUAAUUGACUUUUAGGAACUUACUAAAAUUUUGGCUGUCUUCUUCCUACCACCUAUUAUGGCGGCUGACUUUUCCUUCCAUAUUUUGCCCAAGGAGAAACUUCUUUUGGUCCAUCUCUCCUUAGUGGUUCUGUCACUCUUUAGAAUUCAGUUCAUUUGGUUGCUAUGUAAUCUCUGAUAAGCUCAACUUUUAUAAGUUAUCUAGCUUUUUCCCCUACUCAUUGUUAUGGGGGGAGCAACAUAGAUUCGUAUAUUUCCUCAUCUUAAGCCGAGGCAGAACACAAGUUUUGGUAUCCAUUUUUAAAGCCUGUAUGUGGCAAGAUCUGUCAGACCAGUCAGUUUAUUUUUAUCUUUUGUUUCUUUUCAUUUUACAUUUAAUCUCUUCCACAUCCUGAGAAAAAGUAAAUAUUUCCUACAGUUCUUGAAGUUUUUAUUUAUCACAUUGUAUUCUUCAGUGUAACUGGAUUUCUCUUUCCUAAUGGCUAACGAUAGAUCAGUUUCCCCGAUUAUUUGGAUAAUAUGAUUUAAUAUAUUCUAAACUCCUAUAUGUAGCUUUCCCUCAUGUUUACAUUUCUAGACCUUACAGUAUGAUAAUUGUGGUCAAUUAUCUGCAAAGAUGGUUACUUAUAAUUCCUCCCAUUCUUAUACAUGGUUGUUGCUCUUCCACCCAAAGAUAGAGAAUAUUUCCCCUUCCCUUGAGUAAUCUCUGGCCUGAGAAUUGCUUUGGUUGCUAGAAGGUGAGAGAAGUUAUAUGCACUAUUUCUGGGCCUAGGGCUUGAGAGGCAGGUUUUGGCUUUUGCUUGCUUAGAAUAUCCACCUACCGUAUAAAUAAAUUUGGCUAUCCUGCAAGAGAGACCAGGUAGAGAGUAUGAUGUUCUGAAGGAUGAAAGACCACAAUAGGAGGGAGGGUGUAACAGAUGAAAGACCACGAGGCAAGAGAGGCCUCAGUAUCCCGGCUAGCCCAGCUGAGGGAUCAGGUGUGUGAAGGAAGCCAUUUUGGAUCCUCCAGCCCAGUUUGUAGCCACCUGACCAAGCAAAGCUGCCAACACAGGGAGAAGAGACAGGCUUUUCUAGCUGAGCCCUGGCAAACCAACCCACGGAAUCACAGGCAAAUUAAAUGGUGGUUAUCUGAAGCCACUAAAUUUUUGGGGUGGUUAUUAUACAGCAAUAGGUAACUGAUAUGACCUGGAUUUUCUCAGCAAAGAACCAAAGAUUUGUUGAAAGUGAGAAAAGAUGAAUUAACUCUAGGAAACAGAAGUGAACUGGAAGUAUUUGUCAGUAAUUGUGGGGAAUUUGCUAGAGGAAUUCAAUAGGAGAUAAGUCCACCCCACAGCACUAGGGAAAGCUCACAGAAGAUGGACAAUAUUCAUCUGUAAGAGACAAAUGCAAAUUUGGGGUACAGUUACAUUGAAAUAAUUGUUAAUAAAUUUUAGAACAUCUUGAAACCAAAUGCAUUUGUACUGGUUUCAAUUAGCAGAAAGCGCCAUUGAUUUUUUUUUACGUUCUCUGUUAUGUUGUUGGGAAUCUCCCUUCACAAUUUGAGAUCCUGACUAACACCUUGCUUGUUCUUUAGGUAACUGAUUACAGGUGUGGGCAUUUUUUUCGGCUGAGACUCUACCUCCUGACCACUGAUGUCAGGCCUUGUUCUCACAGUAAUUGGGUCGGGUCUGUUCAGUUCUAUUCAACCUGCCAUUUUUUAAAUCAACUGACUUUUGUGUAUUUAGAGCAUCAGGCAACAUGUGAGUGGAGACAAUUAGAACUGUCUGAAUCUCCAGUUAGAAAUUCGGUAGCACUGAAGGAUGGAGAGGCAAAGACAAGAGUUUAUGAAGGCAGAUUUAGGAAUGUUAACCUGUCUUUCUCCCUGAUGUUUUUACUGUUAAAAUUAGGCAACAGCCCUUACGAGGCAAACCCCAAGCGGCAGCUGUCAGUACUGGACAUCUGGCAGCUGAGCUGUGCUUUGGCACUGAAUCAUCUUCUCCACCCCCAGCCCAGCCCAGAACUUUCUGCAGGCUGAGUAUGACAAAUGCCUGUACUCCAGGUAUCAGUCUUAUUGCAAAGCAACUCUAGAGACAUGAAGGAAAGAAUGAUGUUCUGUGGGAAGUGUUCCAGGGGGCCUCCUGAGACAUGUUCUGCAGAUAGAAGGUGGAGUGGCUGUGGUGUUUGACAUCACUCAGGAAUUAUUUCACAUUCACAAGACUGAUCAGAUCCUGUUCAUUUAUUCGACCUAAAAUGACAUGACAGGAACAGAGACUUGUAAUGGAAAAUUUUCUACCUGGGUCUUUUUAUGAUUUCAGCAAUGAUAUAAACAUCCUCAUUUUUCACAGGAGAAUAAAAACUGUUAAACAUACAUCCAGCGAGGUUUUGCAGCCUUUCAAGUCAAGGAGCAUUACAAGCAAGUUUCUGUGUUAGAGUCUAAAUCUUUUAAACCUAAAAGCUGCCACUCUGAGGUCAUUUACUUUUCAUGUUCCUGAAAGCAUGGGUGAAUCUUUAAAAGUAAUAAAAUUCAAAUAGCACCCACUGGGUACUAGGAAGCGGGCUUUCAGAGCAGGUGGAUUCAUUCCAUUUCAGUCGUGUUAAGCUUAAAGAGAAAGCAAGAGAGGGAAGCUAGACAGAGGAUGAACAAAGAAGGCAUGGCUGAUUUGAGAGAAAUGACCUUCAAGAGUCAUCUCCUUAGAUAUGGCUUCUCACGAACCCACAAAGAUAGACAUAAAAAGCAGUGAGUGCUUUUGAAAAGGAAAGCCUGAU